AUUUAAGUGCUGACUGCUGCUGAGGAAGGAUCUCUUCCUGGAGAUUGCUGCUCGUGGAGAAUAUUGUGAGCCUACAACAUUGGUAUGAACCAAGGAUGGAUGUCUUCCCUUCUUCUCACACUCAGAAGCCACGGUGUCAGCAUCCUGAGCAAAAAAAGAGGGAGAAAAAGGAUUGAACACCAAGAUCAGCACUUCCCAUCAUCUUACUUUGAUGAUUUAGAUCCUGUACUAAAGCCUAAAUCCAUUUUUAUGGCCUCAUCAGCCUCAACCUGACUGUCUGGUAACAUCCAGGCAGCUUAAACUGAGAACUGCCAGAUCUGUUUGAUCCUCACUCAAUUUUCAGAGCAAGGAAGACCUGGGCCCGCGGGAGAGGGCGAUAAGCUGUCUCUCUGGAAGAAAUUUUGGUGUUGCUCAUCUGUUCCGCUCCGUGUUGUAAUUGCUUACACCGUGCAUGAGACCUGGGCUCUUCAGAUAGCAGAAAAUAGUUCAGAGGCUCUGAUGAACAUCUGCACUUCAGGCUGCCUAUCUGAAAUUAAUCUUUCUUUUUGAGCACGGGGUUGUAUCACUUGGACAUGAAAAGGCCACGAUCUUGUCAUCUCCUUCUUGCAUACCUAAUGUCUGCGCUGGCUUUGGAUCAAUUGCAAAAAAUGAAAUAAACAGACCAAUUUUGCCAUCCCUCGUAUUUGAAUAGCUAGCAGUUAUUCUGCACUUCAAAUCACGACCAUUGGGAAGGUCUAAAGUAAUAUCUGCAUUUAUGUCCCACUGGAUUUUAAUAUGAGCGAUGUUUGCUACAGAUGCAUUUCACUAUUAAGUUUGUUUAAGCAGCUUACUGAGGGAAUGUCAUGAAAGAGGAAAAUGACCCCACAGUGUUUCAUUUGAAAGCAGCUUUUGAUUGAGAACCUCUAGUAAUUUUCUUUGUUUUACAGAAAUGGAAGUUAUAUCAGACUUGUGAUUGCUUGAGCUUAAAUUAAUGAAAGUAAUUCCGUAAAAUAUUACAUUUCUCUAUUAUAUCCAUUUACGGGGAACAUUUGAUUCUUUUCUGUGCUUGUUGGAAAGUUAUGCCAGUGAGCAAUUACACUGUAUAAUGCUUGGGUCUAAUUAAUUUUGAAAAAUAUGACAAGCUUUCCUAGCCUUUUCAUUUUGAUGUGCUUUGCGUUGCUCUUUUGUACCCUAUAUAGUGCAGCUCACAUAAUUACAGUUCCCCCUGUUGAUAUCACAGGAAUCCCAAAGUUAAAUACAAGCAGUUAGUUGCCCAUGGAUUCUGCCUUGUUUCUGCAUUUGAUAUCAAGCAGUGCCUUUGGUUAGGACAGCAAAUUUUUAUUUUUUAAUCAGUAAAAAUUUUUAUUUUUUAACAGACCUUUCUAAAUCUAAUGGCUGUUCAGUUUUUACUUAUGAACAUCACCUAAAUCACACUGGAGAUUGAACUCGCUGCGUACUUUUAAUAUCCAUAGAUUUUCUGUAUCUUAUGUUUUUUCAUGUUCUGUACUGCACAGAAAUAAAUACACUUAUCAGAGUGGUUCAAAAGAGGCAGAAUUUUAUUUUAAGGUAUCUCCUUAAAAAGACUGUAUAUUCUUCCCAUGUUUACUUUUUAGUUUUAUGGUUCUGUUUUUCAGAGUUUACUGUCUGAUACUUCACUGAACAUUUAGUGGAAGGAGCUUUAUGGAUGCAUAAAAAUAAGCUAGACUAUUUCUUUUGAACUGGUUAUCUAAAUAGCAGCUGGUAUCUCCAGGAAAAAUUACAUUUAAAAACACAUCUGUGAAUAUCAUUGCAAAAUUCGUUCUCGUAUUUUAUCGGUUUCAUGAUGUGUGAAGACAUACAGCUUUUUCUUUUGUCUUAUUACGUGGUUCAAUUUUCUACUUGAGAGCCCAAUCCCCAUUUGUGAUACUUAGUUUGCACGAUGAUAUCCCAAAUGGGGAAUAAUUUCAAAGUGAGGAGUGUAUUUUGAGGAGAAGAUGAACUCCACAGUCCAAACUUGAUUCCUAAGUCAUUCCAGCAUAAAACCCAUAUUAGAUUGCUCUGAUAUUUUCUCAUAGUAGCUAGCGCUGCCAGACCCGUGAUGUCUCAUUUUUUCUGACUUCCUGUAAAGACUUUGGCAUCUCAGUCUUAUGGGUCAGCCAACCUGUGUGUAAAUUUGAA